rnacentral:tRNA from 2 species
UUAGGGCUAAAGUGACUUGAACACUUAUAAUUACUGUUAUGAGCAGUACACUUUACCUAUUAAGUUAUAGCCCUA